GGGUGGUUAGCUCAGUUGGUAGAGCGGCGGCCUUACAAGCCGUAGGUCACAGGUUCGACCCCUGUACCACCCACCA
rnacentral:tRNA from 1 species